UGCGUAAGCUACUGGUCUUUCAACUCCAUCGAUGCGCUGUGCUAGUACACCUCCUAUGCCGAAACCACAGGCGUCCGGUAGAAUUUCCAUCGGUAACUCGUAGUUUGGAUGAGCUAGCACUGGAGCUGAUCGAUGUAAGCGGACGUGCGAUGGCUGCGAAAUUCUGGAUGUGACGCCGGUAAUAGGAGCACAAUCCCAGGAAGCUUUGUACUCGUUUGACUUUAUUUGCUGUUGAAUGGCCUACUGCUGGAGAUGGAAAAUUUUCCACCGCCUCUAGUUUUUCAGGAUCCGGACCAACACCUUCCUUGUUUCAGGUUGGCUUUUGCAAGGCAAUCCAGCACUGAUUGGAGUCGUUCCAAAUGUUGUUCGAACGUUGCCGAGUAGACGAUGACGUCAUCUAGGUACACCAGGCACGUUGUCCAUCGAAGUCCGGCU